rnacentral:rRNA from 1 species
GUGGCGCACGGGUGAGUAACGCGUGGAUAAUCUGCCCUGUGAUCUGGGAUAACACUUCGAAAGGGGUGCUAAUACCGGAUAAGACCACGGAGUCUUAGGACUCUGCGGUAAAAGGUGGGGACCUUCGGGCCUACCGUCAUCGGAUGAGUCCGCGUACCAUUAGCUAGUUGGUAGGGUAAGAGCCUACCAAGGCGACGAUGGUUAGCUGGUCUGAGAGGAUGAUCAUCCACACUGGAACUGAGACACGGUCCAAACUCCUACAGGAGGCAGCAGUGGGGAAUUUUGCGCAAUGGGGGAAACCCUGACGCAGCAACGCCGCGUGAGUGAUGAAGGCCUUCGGGUCGUAAAGCUCUGUCAG